rnacentral:rRNA from 1 species
UACGUAGGGGGCAAGCGUUGUCCGGAUUUAUUGGGCGUAAAGCGCUCGCAGGCGGCUCGAUGCGUCGUGCGUGAAACACCCCGGCUCAACUGGGGAGGGUCGUGCGAUACGGUCGGGCUGGAGGCCAGUAGGGGGAUGCGGAAUUCCGGGUGUAGUGGUGGAGUGCGUAGAGAUCCGGAGGAACACCAGCGGCGAAGGCGGCAUCCUGGACCAGCACCGACGUUCAGGCACGAAAGCGUGGGGAGCAAACAGG